rnacentral:rRNA from 1 species
AUGAAGAGCACCAAGCUCGCGGCGAUCCUGAUCCUCCAGGCCGUCCUGGUCAUGGGGAUCCUCUCACACGUGAACGCCGACUAUUUCCCCAAGUGCUGCAACAACUGCAGGUCCUUCUCGGGGGUCGACGUCUGCGACGACGCCCACCCCCAGUGCCCCAAGGGCUGCUCGGCCUGCCGCGUGGUGACGCCGAGCCCUCACAAGACGUUCCGGUGCGCCGACAUGAAGAGCACCGUCGAUGGCACCUGCGGCGGGCCAUGCAAGAAGCACUGA